CCUACGGGUGGCAGCAGUGGGGAAUAUUGCACAAUGGGGGGAACCUUGAUGCAGCAACGCCGCGUGGGUGAAGAAGUACUCCGGUAUGUAAAGCCCUGGCAGCAGGGAAGAAAAUGACGGUACCUGACAAAGAAGCCCCGGCUAACUACGUGACAGCAGCCGCGGCAAUACGUAGGGGGCAAGCGUUAUCCGGAUUUACUGGGUGGAAAGGGAGUCUAGACGGCAAGGCAAGGCUGGAGUGAAAGCCCGUGGCACAACCACUGGACUGCAUUGGAAACUGUGUGGCUGGAGUGCAGGAGGGGUAGGCGGAAUACCGAGUGUAGCGGUGAAAUGCGUAGAUAUUAGGAGGAACACCGGUGGCGAAGGCGGCUUACUGGACUGUAACUGACGUUGAGGCUCGAAGGCGUGGGGAGCAAACAGGAUUAGAUACCCUUGUAGUC
rnacentral:rRNA from 1 species